rnacentral:lncRNA from 1 species
CUGACUUUUGUAAAUAAACAAAAUGGGUAGCCUGCAAUGGUUUAUUGUUUAUUCUGUUUCUUGUCAUUCUUUUUUUUCCAUUUUAAACGGAAAGCGUAAUUUUUGGUUUAACAAAAUUGUAAUACUAAAUUUUUCUUUUUCUGUAGUCUUCUACUGUAUGCUCUCAACUUAAUUUUCACGCAUAAACUAAAAAUCGAAGUCCGUCUAGGGCAAGUCGCCCUACUUCCACCUUCUGUACAAAAUACUUAUUUUUUGUUCAAAAAUUUCACUGUUCACAUUGAUAAAGUGAGAUUAACCUUAUCACUAAUAAAUGCUGAUAGUAAGAGGCUACUGGGGUUGUUGAUUGAAGAUGUCCGAUGCACAAGAGAUUUCAGUGUUAACAGUAACACAUGACUUCAAGCCACUAUUCCGAUUCCAGUUCAAUCUAACAGUCUACUUGACAAAAAUUUACCCAUUCUUACAUUCAUUUGUUCAGGAAUAGGCGAAAAUGUUAGUUUUGAACCAUAUACUUAUCACCAUCACCAUACAAACACUCAUCGGUUUGAAUUUUGUGAUUGCUCUAUUAAUAUUUGAAGACAAUUUCAUCAUCUUUCAGAGCGGACAACCCGACUUCAGUGAACUCAUCCUCAGAUUUCCCUUUCCCUGUGUCCUCGUGUACAUUCGUGUGAGGGUGAAUGUAUUCACGAGAACUUCCUUUCCUUCCGCUCUUUUCCUACCUAGCUGAUUCCAUUGCGACUUUUCCAGCUACGUUCGACUUCCUCAUCCAUUUAAGAUGGUUCCAAACGAUUUCAAGCAAAAGUGUUGCGAAAAGAACCACCUCCUUCCAGUCUUGGCGAGAGAGCCAGAAAACGUCCGAUUGAAAGUGACUCGAGUGUUCCUGCAUCGCAAUUGAAAGGUAGGAUGCAUUUUUGAUGUUACUUUUCCAUCGGCCGGUGCUGCAGCAAAGUUCUAAAUCGCUAAGGGUUUCCCGCUUUUCAUCAUCCUGAUUAGUCCGCUUGUCGACUUGAAAAGCUUUGGCAUUUUUAUGACAAGGAAAUUCAAUGCUGUUGCCAUCAAACGAAGCGUUAGGCUUUUCUUAUUCUCGCCGUUCAUUUAAUUAGGCCAAUUGUUUAAUUUUCUCGAGGAAAUGUGUCACAAUUUAUGUGUAACAAAACGAUCGUGUACAAACCACCGCAGGGGGAAAUGAAUGCUGGUUUUUCUGUUAGUUUUCUUUUUUGAUCGAAUUAAGGACAGUUUUGUUGUGAAUUUUUCACUUGAUGUGGCAAUACUUUUUACUUGAUUGAGUGUAAUCGAUCUUGGAUCAGUUACCUUGGACCAGUUCCCAACCCAGUUCCCAACCCAGUAAAAUCUCUUGAUAAAAAUUGACUACAUUCUCACGACUUUUCUGUAUUGAUGUUAACCGAAAGAUGUCGUCUGUCUGCUGGGACUUUCGGGGAAGAAGAAAAUGUAUUUUUUUUUUUGUUUUUUUUUUCUAACUUGUAAAUUAAGAUGUUGGCUAAUACAGCGAUUUGCGUGCUGAUUGUAUGCCCUCGUAAAGUGGCACCGAUCACGAAUAGAGCGUUAAUGACGACGGCAAGAUAAUUGAUGUUAAAUGACUUGAAGGCCAUUUCUUUUGUCAAACGAUGACGACUAACUGAAAAUGUGUUGACUCGCAGAGCGAUUUUUGAUACAUGCUUUUUAAAUGUAAGCAUUCAAGUUAACAUGUUCACUUUCGACAUCUUUUAAUUAAUCGCUUGGCGGACCCCUGAA